rnacentral:rRNA from 1 species
AACGAACGCUGGCGGCAUGCCUAACACAUGCAAGUCGAACGAGACCUUCGGGUCUAGUGGCGCACGGGUGCGUAACGCGUGGGAACCUGCCCUUAGGUUCGGAAUAACUCCCCGAAAGGGGUGCUAAUACCGGAUAAUGUCUUCGGACCAAAGAUUUAUCGCCUUUGGAUGGGCCCGCGUUGGAUUAGCUAGUUGGUAGGGUAAAAGCCUACCAAGGCGACGAUCCAUAGCUGGUCUGAGAGGAUGAUCAGCACACUGGGACUGAGACACGGCCCAGACUCCUACGGGAGGCAGCAGUGGGGAAUAUUGGACAAGGGGCGAAAGCCUGAUCCAGCAAUGCCGCGUGAGUGAUGAAGGCCUUAGGGUUGUAAAGCUCUUUUACCCGGGAUGAUAAUGACAGUACCGGGAGAAUAAGCUCCGGCUAACUCCGUG